rnacentral:rRNA from 1 species
AGGGCAAGUCUGGUGCCAGCAGCCGCGGUAAUUCCAGCUCCAAUAGCGUAUAUUAAAGUUGUUGCAGUUAAAAAGCUCGUAGUUGAAUUUCGGGGUUAGUAGGUUGGUCAUGCCACUGGUAUGUACUGAUCUUACUGAUUCCUCCUUCCUGAUGAACCGUAAUGCCAUUAAUUUGGUGUUGCGGGGAGACUGGACUGUUACUUUGAAAAAAUUAGAGUGUUUAAAGCAGGCUAACGCUUGAAUACAUUAGCAUGGAAUAAUGAAAUAGGACGUUCGAUCCUAUUUUGUUGGUUUCUAGGAUUGACGUAAUGAUUAAUAGGGAUAGUCGGGGGCGUCAGUAUUCAGCUGUCAGAGGUGAAAUUCUUGGAUUUAUUGAAGACUAACUACUGCGAAAGCAUUUGCCAAGGAUGUUUUCAUUAAUCAAGAACGAAAGUUAGGGGAUCGAAGACGAUCAGAUACCGUCGUAGUCUUAACCAUAAACUAUGCCGACUAGGGAUCGGAUGAUGUUAAUUUUUUAAUGACUCAUUCGGCGCCUUACGGGAA